CACUCUGGUGGCCUAGUGGUUAGAGUGUCUACCUCAGAUGCAGGAAGUCGUGGGUUUGAUCCCCAGCUAAGUCA